AUGGUAAAACUUGAUAUCAAAGAAGAGAAAAUCAGGUGGUCCAAUUGAUCCCCCCCCCGAGAAAUUCACCAUCAUGGUGUUUAAUCCAGGAUUUCUACGAAUAGCACCAUGGAAAGUUCAGAAUCAAGAACAUCUGAACAUACUAAGAACAAAAUGAACCGCACCAAGUCACUUGAAUCUAAAAAACUAUCCAAGCAAAGAGAAAUAGAUCGUCCAAGCAAAGAAAGCUUACAUGUACUGAAUCUGAAAAAAGUCAAAAACAUGUCAAGAAUGAAUAAAGACUAAUCUGAAAAAAGAGACAAAAGCAUGCCAAGAAUGAAUAAAAACUAUGAUUAAUCUGAAAACAUGUCAAAAUCGACCACACACUAAGCAAAGAAAGGUGGCCUACCUGAAUCUAAAAGAAAUUGUCCAAGCAAAGAGAAAUAGACUGUCCAAGCAAAAAAAGCU
rnacentral:lncRNA from 1 species